rnacentral:rRNA from 1 species
UGGGGAAUAUUGCACAAUGGGCGCAAGCCUGAUGCAGCAACGCCGCGUGAGGGAUGACGGCCUUCGGGUUGUAAACCUCUUUUAGUAGGGAAGAAGCGAAAGUGACGGUACCUGCAGAAAAAGCACCGGCUAACUACGUGCCAGCAGCCGCGGUAAUACGUAGGGUGCGAGCGUUGUCCGGAAUUAUUGGGCGUAAAGAGCUCGUAGGCGGUCUGUCGCGUCUGCUGUGAAAACCCGAGGCUCAACCUCGGGCCUGCAGUGGGUACGGGCAGACUAGAGUGCGGUAGGGGAGAAUGGAAUUCCUGGUGUAGCGGUGGAAUGCGCAGAUAUCAGGAGGAACACCGAUGGCGAAGGCAGUUCUCUGGGCCGUAACUGACGCUGAGGAGCGAAAGCGUGGGGAGCGAACAGGAUUAGAUACCCUGGUAGUCCACGCCGUAAACGUUGGGCGCUAGAUGUGGGGACCAUUCCACGGUUUCCGUGUCGCAGCUAACGCAUUAAGCGCCCGCCUGGGGAGUACGGCCGCAAGGCUAAAACUU